UCUAAUUAACAUGAAAAAACCAUCACAAAAACUUUCAAAUCAAAUAACACUCACCCACUGGAUAUUAGAUAUGGAGAAGUCGUCUACUAAGUUGGCUUGCCUGCUUGUCAUGCUCUUCAUUACGUCGGGAUGUGUGUUCGUGUCGGAUGCAAGAAAUGUUGUAA